UUCAAUUUUGAAGGAGUCGUCAGAAGGUAGAAAAAUUGUUAAAUCAUUUAUGGAUCGCAACGAAGCGUAUUUAGAAGUAGAUGAACGGAAAACGUUGGUACGAAUACUUGUGAGCCAUAUGUGCAUGCUUUCUGGGAAAGAAGAUUUAUAUCCACCGAGCAGCCUCAAAGAAGAACUUGCAAAGGCAAUUGUUAAAGCUUUUCCAUGUUUGGCUGUCCCUUGUUCUGACGGUUCUAGCCUGACAAACUAUACUCACUAUUUUAAUCCAAAAUUAACUAACGGUUUCAUCGAUACUCGUCUGAAAACUAUGCGGUCGAAGUCCGAAGUGUCAAGUAAAAAAAAAGUCUGGAAACCAAAGACUGCCCGGCCAAAGCUGCCCGGCUAAAAGGACAAACUCCAAUCGCAGGCCUGACAACGAGCUUAAUGGUGAUAGAGACCCCGCUUGCAACGAAGAUGAAGAUAAAUUCAAGAUUGAAUGGAUGAAGACACAUUUACCUGAACAGGGUUCUAAUGAAAACACAAUUCAAGAGCAUAUGGCGUCUACAUAUAACUACAGACAACAUCAAAUUUCUGUAGGUCAAUGGACAACUACGCAAAUACUUGCGGAGUAUCCUCGCUUCCGUGAUUGCCAAAAUUUGAUUUUCCGUGAUUUCCUACUGGCAUUCCCGAAGGCGGGACACUUUGAGGAGACUUUUAUUUUGGCGCAAGGACCAUUGGUAAUAAAAUAGGCCUUGAGAUCAAAUGUUCCCAUUCCAGACACGGAAGAUGAAUGCCUUAAACUGUUGGUUCUAGUAAUGCGACUGAUUCCAUCUUUAAAGAAGAUUCGCGUUGUUAGCCAGGAUUCCAUCACUGAACGAGUGGUUUAUUUCAUCAAGG